rnacentral:rRNA from 1 species
GUUAUAGGGACAAGCGAAUAAGUGCACAUGGUGGAUGCCUUGGCGAUUACAGGCGACGAAGGACGUAGUAGCUUGCGAUAAGCUGCGGGGAGCUAGCAAACAAGCUUUGAUCCGCAGAUUUCCGAAUGGGGAAACCCGGCCUUUUAGGUCAUUGCAUACUGAAUACAUAGGUAUGCAAAGCGAACGCGGCGAACUGAAACAUCUAAGUAGCUGCAGGAAAAUAAAUCAACCGAGAUUCCCAAAGUAGUGGCGAGCGAAAUGGGAUGAGCCUGCACGUUUUAGCAUGACGGAUAGUAGAAACCACUGGAAAUUGGUGCCAUAGAGGGUGAUAGCCCCUUAUACGAAAUUCGAUGUGUGGAACUAAGCGUGCGACAAGUAGGGCGGGACACGAGAAAUCCUGUCUGAAUAUGGGGGGACCAUCCUCCAAGGCUAAAUACUCGUAAUCGACCGAUAGUGAACCAGUACCGUGAGGGAAAGGCGAAAAGAACCCCGGAAGGGGAGUGAAAUAGAUCCUGAAACCGUGUGCAUACAAACAGUAGGAGCGGACUUGUUCCGUGACUGCGUACCUUUUGUAUAAUGGGUCAGCGACUUACAUUCAGUGGCAAGGUUAACCAUAUAGGGAAGCCGUAGAGAAAUCGAGUCCGAAUAGGGCGACAGUCGCUGGGUGUAGACCCGAAACCAAGUGAUCUACUCAUGGCCAGGAUGAAGGUGCGGUAACACGCCCUGGAGGUCCGAACCCACUAAUGUUGAAAAAUUAGGGGAUGAGCUGUGGGUAGGGGUGAAAGGCUAAACAAACUUGGAAAUAGCUGGUUCUCUCCGAAAACUAUUUAGGUAGUGCCUCAAGUAUCACCAUCGGGGGUAGAGCACUGUUAUGGCUAGGGGGUCAUUGCGACUUACCAAACCAUUGCAAACUCCGAAUACCGAUGAGUGCGAGCUUGGGAGACAGACGUCGGGUGCUAACGUCCGGCGUCAAGAGGGAAACAACCCAGACCGCCAGCUAAGGUCCCAAAGAUUGGCUAAGUGGAAAACGAAGUGGGAAGGCUAAAACAGUCAGGAUGUUGGCUUAGAAGCAGCCAUCAUUUAAAGAAAGCGUAAUAGCUCACUGAUCGAGUCGUCCUGCGCGGAAGAUGUAACGGGGCUAAGCCAGUCACCGAAGCUGCGGAUAUAUUUCUCGAUACUUGUAUCUUGAUCUAUAUGGUAGGAGAGCGUUCUGUAAGCCUGCGAAGGUGUCUUGUAAAGGAUGCUGGAGGUAUCAGAAGUGCGAAUGCUGACAUGAGUAGCGAUAAUGGGAGUGAAAAGCUCCCACGCCGUAAGCCCAAGGUUUCCUGUUCAACGUUCAUCGGAGCAGGGUGAGUCGGCCCCUAAGGCGAGGCAGAGAUGCGUAGCUGAUGGGAAGCAGGUUAAUAUUCCUGCACCGUCGUAUGAUGCGAUGGGGGGACGGAUCGCGGAAGGUUGUCCAACGGUUGGAAGUGUUGGUUUUUGACUCAUAGAAGGCGCUUAGGCAAAUCCGGGCGCGUAAUUCAAGGGGUCGAGACGAGGAACUUAGGUUCUGAAGCAAUCGGAAGUGGUUCCCAAGAAAAGCCUCUAAGCUUCAGUCAUACGAGACCGUACCGCAAACCGACACAGGUGGGCGAGAUG